rnacentral:rRNA from 1 species
AGUGAACGCUGGCGGUAGGCCUAACACAUGCAAGUCGAACGGCAGCACAGUAAGAGCUUGCUCUUACGGGUGGCGAGUGGCGGACGGGUGAGGAAUACAUCGGAAUCUACUUUUUCGUGGGGGAUAACGUAGGGAAACUUACGCUAAUACCGCAUACGACCUACGGGUGAAAGCAGGGGAUCUUCGGACCUUGCGCGAUUGAAUGAGCCGAUGUCGGAUUAGCUAGUUGGCGGGGUAAGGGCCCACCAAGGCGACGAUCCGUAGCUGGUCUGAGAGGAUGAUCAGCCACACUGGAACUGAGACACGGUCCAGACUACUACGGGAGGCAGCAGUGGGGAAUAUUGGACAAUGGGCGCAAGCCUGAUCCAGCCAUACCGCGUGGGUGAAGAAGGCCUUCGGGUUGUAAAGCCCUUUUGUUGGGAAAGAAAAGCAGCAGGUUAAGACCCCGCUGUUCUGACGGUACCCAAAGAAUAAGCACCGGCUAACUUCGUG